rnacentral:misc_RNA from 1 species
CGUCCAUCCUCAUCCAGAACCUGGCUCAAGACCAGAUUUUUAAGCUCUUCGCAAAUGGCUUGCAUCGCCAUCUCAUCAUCAUCGUCAUUCUCAUCAGCUUUUGGCUGAUUUUGGUCAGGGUUUUGGAAAUUGAGAUCGGACGAUAACAACAAUGUUUCAGAAUUCUGGGAUUGAAUCCCAAAUUCUUCAGUUUGAUCUGGUAAUUGAUUGUGAUUUUGGUGUUGUUCAAUUGCUUCCAUUGUUGUUGCUCUGCAUUUCAAUCAGUAAAAACCCUAAUUGAGGAAUUCAG